AGACUCAAGCGAAGAAAGUUUUUGAGGUGUUGGAUCCUGAAGGCUGCUUCAGAUCUAUCUUGGGACCUCCUGAGAGAUUUCCAGAGAUUCUCAUCAGCUUGUCAUAAAAGAUCUUGCCAAGCUGAGAGGCCUCCACCUGGACUGACAUCACAGUCUCACAUAAUAAACAAGAGUCCUGUCCACUAAACCCUUUCAAGCUGUAUGUUUUAAUCAAGUUUUCAGUUGAUGCAAAGAUUUUGGUGAAAAUCCCACUUUGAAAAAAUCACACUGGCUAUCUACUGGCAAGGAGACCCAAAACAGGCAAGGAAGAUGGAUUUGUUUCAGCCCAUCCUUCUGCCAUCCUUAUGUCAGAACCCACGAGUUUCCUCACCAACUGCCUCCCGGUUCUGCUGGCACAGCCAUCUGUAGUGUCUGGAGGUGGAAACCUCAGAGCGCUCCCUCAGCUGCUUGGUCCUUGGUCAUGUCAGCUCUCCAGUCACCUCCACUCAGCAGCAUCUACUGGCUUUUUGGGUACCUUCAGAAACAAGGAAGUCAGAGGUGCUCUGUAGAAUAUUCCCCUUUUUGUCCUUCACUGUGAGUUGCCAAUCAUUUAAUCUUCAGCCUCUUCGUUGUUUGGUUUUUAUUAUUAUUACUUGUUUGGAUUUUUUUUACACAUCGCAGAAAUGCUGAGGUUGGAUGGGACCUCUCAAGAUCACCUAGUCCAACCCUCCAUGCUCAAACAGUGCCAGCUAAAGCAGGUUGCUCAGGACAUUGUCCAGUUCGGUUUUGGAAUAUUUCCAAAGGUGGAGACUCCACAACCUCUCUGGGCAACCUGUGCCGGUGUUUGAUCACCUUUACACUAAAAAAGUUUUUUCCUAUGUUUAAAUGGAAUUUCUUGUGUUUCAAUGUGUGCCCAUUGCCUCUUGGCCUUUCAGUGGGCAUCACCAACACUGCUGGCUCACUUGUAGUCCGCUGGGGUCCUCAGGGCCUGCUUUCCAGCCAGCCAGCCUUCAGCAUGCACUGGUGCAUGGGGUUAUUCUUCCUCCAGGGCAGGACUGUGCAUUGCACUUUUUGAAUUUUGUAAGGUUCCUGUUGGCUCAUUUCUUCAGCCUGUCAAAGUCCCUCUGAAUGGCACCAAACCCAUCUGGCGUAUGAACCGUUCCUCCUCUUAUCGUACCAUCUGCAAACUUGCUGAGGGUGCAAUCUGCCUCAGUAUCUAGGUCAUUAAUGUCGAAGUUACCUAACUGCAGAACAAUCAGAUAGUUCAGGUGCUGCUAGGUUUUAUCCACUGGUAGCGCAUUUGCUCAUUUGCUCAUUUUAUUUAUGAAUAUCCUGUUUGUGGAAAGUAAAGACAAACAAUUCUCCAUUAUUCACCUUUGUGUUUUAGGUGCAACAUAAAGCCAGGGGAUUAUUAAGUGAGUCUUAAUCUGAUGAAAACUGUAACAGAGUAUUUCCAAGAAAGCAGUUUUGUUUUUCAGGAUGAACAUCAUGCAACAACAAUUAGAGGAACACUAAGACUUAUUUUUUUACUAAAGAUUAUGUACUGAAAACAGUCUGUUUUCUAAAGUGGGUUUUGUGGCUACAACACAGAACACACAUACUAAAAAAGAACAAAUGAGACAUUAAAAGAUACUCCCUAGCCCUGGAGUAAAACUAAAACACUGGAAAUAGGAUGUUCCCAUAAAAAAAUAAUAAGAAGAAUUUAAAAAUGCAUAAAGCGUAUAUAAAUAUGUGUCUGUAUAUAAAAAUAUAUGUAUAUAAACAUGAGAGAAGUUGUAUUUUUGCUUUCCAGCCAGCACAAGCAUACCCUAGCUUUGACAACAGCAUAGUGCAGUAUAUAUUUUCAUGCCAAUAUAGGUUCAGUCUCUUGAUGCAAACAUGUGCAAAAGAUGAGAGACAGGUAUAAGGUGGGGAAGUUAUAGAUUCAUACACAGACAAGCUUGUAAAGCUCUCCUGUGUAAGAAACAGAACAGCAGCUAGAAUUUGCACAAGGCCAAGAGCCUCCAUCCUCUUUCCUAGCAAUAAACUAGUCCCUAUUAUGUCUCUGAUAUAUUGAUCUUUGCAUCUGUCUUACGAGAACUGUGUCUCCUUUUGUUUUAUCACAGUAACCAAAAGUGUACUUUCCUAUCAUUCUCAAUCCUGAGAGAUAAUGGGGCAAAACAUAACUGUUGUUUGUUCCUUU